UUCCCCUAGUAACUGCGAGUGAAGCGGGAAAAGCUCAAAUUUAAAAUCUGGCGGUCUUUGGCCGUCCGAGUUGUAAUCUAGAGAAGUGCUAUCCGCGCUGGACCGUGUACAAGUCUCCUGGAAUGGAGCGUCAUAGAGGGUGAGAAUCCCGUCUUUGACACGGACUGCCAGGGCUUUGUGAUGUGCUCUCAAAGAGUCGAGUUGUUUGGGAAUGCAGCUCAAAAUGGGUGGUAAAUUCCAUCUAAAGCUAAAUAUUGGCGAGAGACCGAUAGCGAACAAGUACCGUGAGGGAAAGAUGAAAAGAACUUUGGAAAGAGAGUUAAACAGUACGUGAAAUUGCUGAAAGGGAAACGCUUGAAGUCAGUCGCGUUGGCCGGGGAUCAACCUUGCUUUUGCUGGGUGUACUUUCCGGUUGACGGGUCAGCAUCAAUUUUGACCGUUGGAUAAAGUCUGUGGGAAUGUGGCUUCUUCGGAAGUGUUAUAGCCCAUAGUCGCAUACAACGGUUGGGAUUGAGGAACUCAGCACGCCGCAAGGCCGGGUAUUUAUACCACGUUCGUGCUUAGGAUGCUGGCAUAAUGGCUUUAAUCGACCCGUCUUGAAACACGGACCAAGGAGUCUAACAUGCCUGCGAGUGUUUGGGUGGAAAACCCGAGCGCGUAAUGAAAGUGAAAGUUGAGAUCCCUGUCGUGGGGAGCAUCGACGCCCGGACCAGACCUUUUGUGACGGAUCCGCGGUAGAGCAUGUAUGUUGGGACCCGAAAGAUGGUGAACUAUGCCUGAAUAGGGUGAAGCCAGAGGAAACUCUGGUGGAGGCUCGUAGCGAUUCUGACGUGCAAAUCGAUCGUCAAAUUUGGGUAUAGGGGCGAAAGACUAAUCGAAC
rnacentral:rRNA from 1 species